UACGUAGGGUGCGAGCGUUGUCCGGAAUUAUUGGGCGUAAAGAGCUCGUAGGCGGUGAGUCGAGUCGGCCGUGAAAACCUGCAGCUUAACUGUGGGCUUGCGGUCGAUACGGGCAUGACUGGAGUUCGGCAGGGGAGACUGGAAUUCCUGGUGUAGCGGUGAAAUGCGCAGAUAUCAGGAGGAACACCGGUGGCGAAGGCGGGUCUCUGGGCCGAUACUGACGCUGAGGUGCGAAAGCGUGGGGAGCAAACAGG
rnacentral:rRNA from 1 species